UGAUUGGAAAGGUCAAUUCCAAUAUGGCGGCAGUUUUAUGUUGACCUGCUUUGAAUGGAGAAUCGAUUUCGUUUUACUGACAGCUUCGUUUCUGGUCUUUUGUACUCACAACAAUGCCAGCGUUGUUAGAGAGGCCUAAAAUGACUGAAGCUAUGGCUGCGGCCUUGAAACAUCAUAUUUUGAAAGAAAGAGAACGUAAGCGUCAAGAAGAGGAAGAAGCUGAUAAAGCCAUAGAAAGAAAAAAAGAGGAGAGAGAAAGACAGAGAAAGAAAGCUGAAGCCGAAUCUUUGAAUCUAGAAGAAACUAAAGAACAG